rnacentral:misc_RNA from 1 species
UGGUUCUGGCAUCGAUGAAGAACGCAGCGAAAUGCGAUAAGUAGUGUGAAUUGCAGAAUUCAGUGAAUCAUCGAAUCUUUGAACGCACAUUGCGCCCCUUGGUAUCCCGAGGGGCAUGCCUGUUCGAGCGUCAUUUCACCACUCAAGCCUGGCUUGGUGUUGGGCGACGUCCCCUUUAGGGACGCGCCUCGAAACGCUCGGCGGCGUGGCACCGGCUUUAAGCGUAGCAGAAUCUUUCGCUUUGAAAGUCGGGGCCCCGUCUGCCGGAAGACCUACUCGCAAGGUUGACCUCGGAUCAGGCAGGGAUACCCGCUGA